UGGGGAUUAGAGGCAGUGUUAGAUGUAACUGAGGCACCUCUCACAUUUUGAAUUUGGUUCGUUCUAAUUUUAUGUGAAAAUAUUACAUUUAUAAUUAUAUAACAAAGAAAUGGCAAAAAAAAAAAAGCUAAGCGCGCUAAUGUCUAGCGCACAAGCAUAUAGAUAUAUUAGAGAACAUUAUGGUAAAAUACAGAUCACGCAGACUACAACGUUUAUGUGGUUCGUGGGGAUUAGAGGCAGUGUUAGAUGUAACUGAGGCACCUCUCACAUUUUGAAUUUGGUUCGUUCUAAUUUUAUGUGAAAAUAUUACAUUUAUAAUUAUAUAACAAAGAAAUGGCAAAAAAAAAAAAAAAAAGCUAAGCGCGCUAAUGUCUAGCGCACGCCACCACGGGAGAUACAACUGCGCUCAAAUGGCGCUUUUCAAAUCUUUUUUUUAUUACGACUGUGCAUCUCACUCUCGGAGAAGAUCUUUUCACUGCAUUAUUUUUUCAUCCGUGCCCGGGCCCGAGGUCACGGUUGGGCUCGAAGGCCUCUUUUUGUUGUGCACUAAGGCAUCUUUCGCAGCUGACAGCCGUGUAUCCGCCCGUGGAGGCAUUACGGUGAGCCGAAUCCCGCUUAAUAUCCUGAUCUUCUUCUAAUUAAACUCCCGGUACGGUACAAUCAGGAGAGGGCGAACCCAGUAAAGUUAGGGUUUGGGCACAGCGGGAAGGGAAGGGAAGGGGUAGGAAUAC
rnacentral:lncRNA from 1 species